UACCACAUUGGUAAUGUAUGAAUCUUAAGCCUCUCGAAGGAUAAUAAAGGCCCCCCACACUCUACUCUUACUCAAUACGCCCCCGGAGUACAGAGCAGUAACAUGUCUCACCACGUAUCAGAGUUUGGGUAUACGAGGACACCAACCCCUUGGGAGGAUGGCUAAAUUGAGAAGA
rnacentral:ribozyme from 1 species